rnacentral:rRNA from 1 species
ACGCUCGACACCUACGGGGGCAGCAGUUGGGAAUAUUGGACAAUGGAGGAAACUCUGAUCCAGUGACGCCGCGUGAAGGAAGAAGGUCUUCGGAUUGUAAACUUAUUUUGUCAGGGAAGAAAAAUGACUGUACCUGAAGAAAAAGCACCGGCUAACUACGUGACAGCAGCCGCGGUAAUCUGAGCGGGCUGGCAAGGC